AUUGAACGCUGGCGGCAUGCCUUACACAUGCAAGUCGAACGGCAGCACGGACUUCGGUCUGGUGGCGAGUGGCGAACGGGUGAGUAAUAUAUCGGAACAUACCUUGUAGUGGGGGAUAACUAUCCGAAAGGAUAGCUAAUACCGCAUACGCUCUAUGGAGGAAAGCGGGGGAUCGUAAGACCUCGUGCUAUAAGAGUGGCCGAUAUCUGAUUAGCUAGUUGGUGAGGUAAAGGCGCACCAAGGCGACGAUCAGUAGCUGGUCUGCGAGGACGACCAGCCACACUGGAACUGAGACACGGUCCAGACUCCUACGGGAGGCAGGAGUGGGGAAUUUUGGACAAUGGGCGAAAGCCUGAUCCAGCAAUGCCGCGUGCAGGAAGAAGGCCUUCGGGUUGUAAACUGCUUUUGUACGGAACGAAACGGUCUGGGUUAAUACCUCGGGCUAAUGACGGUACCGUAAGAAUAAGCACCGGCUAACUACGUGCCAGCCGCCGCCGUAACAC
rnacentral:rRNA from 1 species